GGACGGGUUCCCGAGUGGCCAAAGGGAGCAGACUGUAAAUCUGCCAGCUCCGCUUUCGGUGGUUCGAAUCCACCCCCGUCCACCA
rnacentral:tRNA from 4 species